rnacentral:tRNA from 1 species
GGGCCCGUAGCUCAAUCGGAUAGAGCAUCAGCCUUCUAAGCUGAGGGUUACGUGUUCGAUUCACGUCGGGCCUA